CUCGUAGGUGGCCAACUAAGUCAGACGUGAAAUCCCUCGGCUUAACCGGGGAACUGCGUCUGAUACUGGAUGGCUUGAGUUCGGGAGGAGGGAUGCGGAAUUCCAGGUGUAGCGGUGAAAUGCGUAGAUAUCUGGAGGAACACCGGUGGCGAAGGCGGCAUCCUGGACCGACACUGACGCUGAGGAGCGAAAAGCCAGGGAGCAAACG
rnacentral:rRNA from 1 species